UCUUUGAGCGGCCGAUGUCAGAUUAGCUAGUUGGUGAGGUAAAGGCUUACCAAGGCGACGAUCUGUAGCGGGUCUGAGAGGAUGAUCCGCCACACUGGAACUGAGACACGGUCCAGACUCCUACGGGAGGCAGCAGUGGGGAAUUUUGGACAAUGGGGGCAACCCUGAUCCAGCCAUGCCGCGUGAGUGAAGAAGGCCUUCGGGUUGUAAAGCUCUUUCGGCCGGGAAGAAAUCGC
rnacentral:rRNA from 1 species